CAUCUUUGAGGGAGAGAGAGAGGGAGCAGGAAGGGACCCAGAGAGGGAGAGAGAGAAUCCCAAGCAGGCUCUGUGCUGUCAGCGCAAAGCCCAACAUGGGUCUCAAUCCCACACCCUGAGGUCAUGUCCUGAGCCGAUAUCAAGAGUUGGUAGCUCAACCGACUCGCCAGCCAGGCGCUCCUCUGAGAGAGUUUCUUAACCUGCCUUUUAACCCAUCAAUUUCUCAACUGCAUCAGUUCCACUAUUGAUCCUUCUAGUAUGUUCUUUACUUCAAUCACUGUGGUUUCCAUGCCUAUUAUUUCUACUUGGUUCUUCUUUUUCCAGUUUCUUGUUCUUAUUUGAUAGUCUAGCAAAUGAUCUCAUCUUGCUUGGUUUGGUUUUUACGCCUAUUUUGUCUCCGUCCAUUCCGCCUCCCCCCUCCUAUCUGUUUCCAUUGGAAAACAGAUUCUGUAAUUCCCUUUUGUGGAUUUCUUUUAAAGGAGCUGAAGUUCUCAGAAUUCUCAUCAUUUUGGCCUAAGAGUGCAUAUUCCCAUGGGGCACAGGGUCCGGGGUCCUGUGACGCACGGAGAGGCCAGCGUCCCUGCUGGGUGUCAGUCCCCUGAGCUCAGGACCCAGAAGCCCUGGCUGAGCCCUGGGCAUGCAGACACCGCUCAGCCCUGCCCUGCCACCAGGAGACUGCUCUGGGCUGCUUUGGUGCUCAGUCCCCGGGAAGCAGCAGAUCCCAGGGGGGUUGGAGGGGUGGUGGGGCCAUGGAGGUGGUCUUUCUGUCCUCCUCGGCUCCUCACCUGCAGAGUUUCUGCAUGAUCCGUUUAUGCUGAGGAUAUCUGCACUAGCUGCCAUAGAGCUGAGCCUCCUGCCGUUGGUCACAGCGCUGGCCACACACCACCGGCGGUUCAGAGCGUCCUUUCCCUGCCAGGUUUUUCCUCCCACUUUGCUCCUUUCUGUCCAUGUUUCCCUCUAGAUUUUCUUCAAGUUGGAUCUUGGGGGAGGCUGCCUCCUGGAGUCUGAGAAUCGUCGUCCCGGGUUAUGAUUGCCACCUAGCGGCCAGUGCGAGAAGCGCAUGGCUGUGCCUUUGGUCUGACUUCCUUCUAACAGUGCUAUGCAAAACAGAAGGUAAGCCAAAUAAGUGAUUUUACGUUGUCUGGUAGUCUCGCUAUAAAGGUAAAAAGGAAUAGGUGAUUUAAUUUUAUUAGUAUAAUUUAUUUAACCCAGUAUAUCCACAUAAUAUUUUGACUGUAAUCAAUGUUUUGUUUUAUUUUAUAUUUCAUUUUAUUUUUAAUAUGAUUUAAUUUAAUUUUAGAGGGUGUUGAGAGGCAGCGGGAAAGAGAGAGAGAAUCUUAAGCAGGCUUCACGCUCAGUGCAGAGCCCAACAUGGGGCUCGAUCUCACAGCCCUGGGAUCAUGACAUGAGCCGAAAUCAAGAGGCAACUGACUGAGCCCGGCAGGCGCCCCUGAUGGUAUAUUUUACGUGCUGUGUCUCGUACUGAGUCUUUGAAAUCCAGGGUGUAACUUGCACUUCCAGCACACCUCAAGUAAGAAUCUAAAUUUUCAUCAGGAAUACUCGAGCUGCAUUUAAGUUUCACAAAAAUUACAGCUGAAAAGGUUGAUUUCUAAAUCAAAGGUUGAUUGAUACCCAAGUUGUUCCAAAUACGAAUUUUCGCAACUAGUUAAGUGUCGUUACUGGAGGAGUUCCACAGUUUAUCUGUUUGCAAAGGGACCCUCUGUAGGGCAGGAUCCGCUGCCCCAUGUUCUCGUUCUGAGCAGAACCGUGUUUGACACACUGGCUGCUCCCCACUUUCUGUGUCCACAAGUGAGCUGGCUUCCUACCUACCCGAAACGUCUGAAUGGGAUGCGACGAGAAAGUUCGCCGGUCAGGUCCGGAGGAUGUCACGGGUCACGCAUCCGCUGCACCUGUGCCCGCAGCCUGGGGCGUCCUGGGGCGGCUUACAGCCCAGCUGCCGCCAACCGCAGCCAUCAGUCCUCUCCGGGAAUGUCCUCAGCUGAAGAGAACCGUGCAGGGCAAGGCCGUGCCCCCUUUCUGAGCAGCCACAGCCCUGAUUGGUCAGGGGGGUUGUAAAGGCCCAAUCUCUUCACCUGAAAUGAGGGUAAGUGGGGAAGCCUGACGCUGGGGCCAGUCUCGGAACCGGAACCGGGUAGGGAGCCGCCUCUGAGAAGCUUCUCUUCGGCUAUGCUUCACCUAGGAGGGGGCCCCGGAGAGCAGAUGCCAGGAUGGGGUUCUGGACCUGGGCCGGGGGCUGCUGGCCGGCGGCGAGGACUCCGGGCCUGUGUCCCUGGCGCAAGGUAACAAUGAAGCGGGCAAAGUGUCACCGGGGCCGUGUUGUGGUGGAUGGGGAUUCACCCGUGGGGUCCACGCAUCAGGAGUGGGGAGCACACGGAGGGAGGGGAAGCCACAAGGGCAGUGAGAUGCUGUGGCUGUCGCUAAGCACAGUUAAGUUCUGGGGGAAGAGAAAAGGCUGAGUUGAGUCCAGGGCAGUUAAAGGCUCCCUGUGAGAGGUGGCGCUGCCCCGUUGGGAGCAGGGAAGAGGCGCUCCCCGCCUGGUUGUCACAGCAGAGAGAGCGGAGGACCAGGUCCCGGACCGUGUCACGCAGCAGCGGGGCCCAGGCUGACCCGGGCGAACGCAGGUCGGCCAUGAGCUCAGGGCCCUGCCGGAAGGCAGGUAGGUACCUCGGCGUCAGCCCCAACGCCCCCUCUGGCCGUGACACUGUGCCAGGCCUGCCGAGAGCUGAAGGAAGCUGGGCCCAAGGGCCCCCUAACCCCCUGUGCGUAAGAUGGCGCCUGGACGCCGGGAGUGCUGGGUCAGGGGGACUGGAACCUCAUACCAGCCGGGGGAGAUUUUCCUGAUUGGGGAGCACUCUUCCAGGUGGCAAGUGUAAGCCCCCAGCCAGGCCCCUGCAGAUGGUGCCCACCUGCUGCCCGGACGGCUCCCGGCAGAAAUGCCCGAGUUGCCCUGGCAGGCGGUGGACGGAGGGUCAUGAGGGGCAAGCGCAGACACGGUAGGGGAGGGCGCUACGUCGGGCAGAUAGUCCAGCUGGUCCACGGGAAGCCUCGGGAGACGCGCCCACCUCCCGAAGCAGUAGAGAAUGUGCUGGCGGGGCCCCGGCAGGGCUCAGGAGUUCACUUGGGCCCCCUCGCCAGCCCGGGUGGGGGCAGGAGGCGAAGCUGCAGAAAUGAGCUGCCGAUGGCUGCGUGCUGGGGCCCGGGGGUCUGGGCCACGUGGGCACAGAUAGCCUGAUGAGCGGCCUCCGGGGCCGGCCCUGCACAGGCUGGCAACCGGUGACAGAACAGAGGGACCGUUCCCAGGGGCACCACUCAGUCUGUACCAUCAAAAGAAAUCAAGGGUGAUGAGGGGCACCUGCCUGGGUGGCUCAGUCGGGUAAGUGUCUGAUUUUGGCCUAGGUCAUGAUUUCACGGUUUGUGAGUUCGAGCCCCGUGUCAGGCUCUGUGCUGACAGCUCAGAGGGCCCGGAGCCUGCCUCUGGUUCUGUGUCUCCCUCUCUCUGCCCCUCCCCUGUUCAUACUCUGUCUCUGUCUCUCUCUCUCAAAAAUAAGUUAAAUUUUAAGAAAUGGUGGACGACGACCUCCAGGCCAACUUGCCUCCACACUCUGGCGUUAGGGCACCUCAGAUGUAUAGCCUCAGCCGGACCUGGGUGUCCCCCGCCCCGUCUCGCUGUGCCCACUGGGCACUUCGGAUGUCCUGC
ensembl:lncRNA